CAAUGUGCGGGAACAAAAACUGUCACAUGACCACAAAUGCGAACGACCACGGCUAUUUUUCGGAUAAAACGUCAAUCGAAGUAUUUUAACAAGAUGCGACGAAAAACAAAGCUUAACUUACAUAGAGUCAAAUCCAGAAGAUCGAAAUGUGGUUAUGCUGACAUGACGCGAGAACUGCUUCAACUUGUCGCGAAAGAUGAUGUAAACGCUCGGAAAACUUUGUUGCCACAAAAGAAAUUCAUCAACACCAAGAUCUCGAACAAAUCAGCACACCUAUGCAUGACGCCUUCGCGAACCAACAAACGCAAACUGACACCGUUGAAAUCUCCUAUUAAGACUCCUUUCAAAUCUCCCAUUUACAAAGCAAGAGCAAUCGACCAUUUAUAUACCGUACGGGACGAUCGCAUAAAUAUCAUCUGCUGGAGAAGUCUAAGGAUUUAUCAUCAGAGUGUGACCAGAACUGUGCGGCAUGCGUCUCUAGAUUCAGAGCAGUCGU